GACGAACCGUCCAAACGUUGUUCGGAAUCACUGGGCUUAAAGGGCGCGUAGGCGGGCUGCCAAGUCCGGGGUGAAAUCCUCCAGCUUAACUGGAGAACUGCCUCGGAUACUGGAAGUCUCGAGGAGGGUAGGGGCAUGCGGAACUGUGGGUGGAGCGGUGAAAUGCGUUGAUAUCCAUAGGAACUCCGGUGGCGAAGGCGGCAUGCUGGACCCUUUCUGACGCUGAGGCGCGAAAGCCAGGGGAGCAAACGGG
rnacentral:rRNA from 1 species